rnacentral:rRNA from 1 species
UACAGAGGGUGCAAGCGUUGCUCGGAAUUAUUGGGCGUAAAGGGUAGGUAGGUGGUCUGAUUUGUCUGUUGGUGAAAUCCCGGGGCUUAACUCCGGAAGUGCCACAGAAACGGUCAGACUUGGAGUACUGGAGAGGUGUAGGCUACUCGCGGGGUAGGGGUAAAAUCCUGUAAUCCUGCGGGGAGGACCAGUGGCGAAGGCGCUACACUAGAACGGCUCUGACAGUGAGGGACGAAGCCCUGGGGCGCAAACCGG